GUGGCGAACGGGUGAGUAACACGUGAGUAACCUGCCCUUGACUCUGGGAUAAGCCUGGGAAACUGGGUCUAAUACCGGAUACGACCAUCUGACGCAUGUCAUGGUGGUGGAAAGCUUUUGUGGUUUUGGAUGGACUCGCGGCCUAUCAGCUUGUUGGUGGGGUAAUGGCCUACCAAGGCGACGACGGGUAGCCGGCCUGAGAGGGUGACCGGCCACACUGGGACUGAGACACGGCCCAGACUCCUACGGGAGGCAGCAGUGGGGAAUAUUGCACAAUGGGCGAAAGCCUGAUGCAGCGACGCCGCGUGAGGGAUGACGGCCUUCGGGUUGUAAACCUCUUUCAGUAGGGAAGAAGCGAAAGUGACGGUACCUGCAGAAGAAGCGCCGGCUAACUACGUGCCAGCAGCCGCGGUAAUACGUAGGGCGCAAGCGUUAUCCGGAAUUAUUGGGCGUAAAGAGCUCGUAGGCGGUUUGUCGCGUCUGCUGUGAAAGACCGGGGCUCAACUCCGGUUCUGCAGUGGGUACGGGCAGACUAGAGUGCAGUAGGGGAGACUGGAAUUCCUGGUGUAGCGGUGAAAUGCGCAGAUAUCAGGAGGAACACCGAUGGCGAAGGCAGGUCUCUGGGCUGUAACUGACGCUGAGGAGCGAAAGCAUGGGGAGCGAACAGGAUUAGAUACCCUGGUAGUCCAUGCCGUAAACGUUGGGCACUAGGUGUGGGGGACAUUCCACGUUUUCCGCGCCGUAGCUAACGCAUUAAGUGCCCCGCCUGGGGAGUACGGCCGCAAGGCUAAAACUCAAAGGAAUUGACGGGGGCCCGCACAAGCGGCGGAGCAUGCGGAUUAAUUCGAUGCAACGCGAAGAACCUUACCAAGGCUUGACAUGAACCGGAAAGACCUGGAAACAGGUGCCCCGCUUGCGGUCGGUUUACAGGUGGUGCAUGGUUGUCGUCAGCUCGUGUCGUGAGAUGUUGGGUUAAGUCCCGCAACGAGCGCAACCCUCGUUCUAUGUUGCCAGCGCGUUAUGGCGGGGACUCAUAGGAGACUGCCGGGGUCAACUCGGAGGAAGGUGGGGACGACGUCAAAUCAUCAUGCCCCUUAUGUCUUGGGCUUCACGCAUGCUACAAUGGCCGGUACAAAGGGUUGCGAUACUGUGAGGUGGAGCUAAUCCCAAAAAGCCGGUCUCAGUUCGGAUUGGGGUCUGCAACUCGACCCCAUGAAGUCGGAGUCGCUAGUAAUCGCAGAUCAGCAACGCUGCGGUGAAUACGUUCCCGGGCCUUGUACACACCGCCCGUCAAGUCACGAAAGUUGGUAACAC
rnacentral:rRNA from 1 species